rnacentral:misc_RNA from 1 species
UCAAACUUGGUCAUUUAGAGGAAGUAAAAGUCGUAACAAGGUCUCCGUUGGUGAACCAGCGGAGGGAUCAUUACGAAAUAGAGUACUCGUACUCGCAACCCUCUGUGAACCUACCAUUUGUCUGUUCCUUCGGCGGGAGGCCCCUGGGAGGGGCCCCGGGGCCCGGCCUGAGCCGGGCUCCCGCCGUCGGGGCACAAACCAAACUCUUGUUGUAACCAGUGGCACAUCCGAGUCAACUAUUGAAACAAGUUAAAACUUUCAACAACGGAUCUCUUGGUUCUGGCAUCGAUGAAGAACGCAGC